rnacentral:hammerhead_ribozyme from 1 species
GUUCUGUUUCGGAAUGUGCAUUCCGACUGAUGAGCUUUAAAGAGCGAAACAGAAU